rnacentral:lncRNA from 1 species
AAUUUUUAUGGUUGAUUUUAAACCUAAUCAUUUAAUUUGAAUUAAAUGUUAAUUAAAAUUAAAAACAAUUUUUUUAUCAAAUAAAUUGAAGUGUUAAAAUAGUCAAAUUCAACCAAUGAAAAUCAUUGAGGACUAAAGAUAGAUUCAGUUUUUUUUGAGGAACAAAAAAAAAAAAAAAGAAGAAGCAAAUCCAAUAAUAAAACACACAAUUUGGAAGAAAAAAACUUGAAAAAUGGUAAAAAAAGCUGAACCAUGAAUCUAAAAUACCCAACAUUUAGUAAAAAUUAAUGUUUUUGGCCAAAAAAAAAAGCCUAAAUUUAACGUACAAACCCUCCCCACCAUUACUAAAUUUAACAAUUGUAAUUCCCUAUAACUAGUCUCCCCC